rnacentral:rRNA from 1 species
UUAAGCGACUAAGCGUACACGGUGGAUGCCCUGGCAGUCAGAGGCGAUGAAGGACGUGCUAAUCUGCGAUAAGCGUCGGUAAGGUGAUAUGAACCGUUAUAACCGGCGAUUUCCGAAUGGGGAAACCCAGUGUGUUUCGACACACUAUCAUUAACUGAAUCCAUAGGUUAAUGAGGCGAACCGGGGGAACUGAAACAUCUAAGUACCCCGAGGAAAAGAAAUCAACCGAGAUUCCCCCAGUAGCGGCGAGCGAACGGGGAGCAGCCCAGAGCCUGAAUCAGUAUGUGUGUUAGUGGAAGCGUCUGGAAAGGCGCGCGAUACAGGGUGACAGCCCCGUACACAAAAAUGCACAUGCUGUGAGCUCGAUGAGUAGGGCGGGACACGUGGUAUCCUGUCUGAAUAUGGGGGGACCAUCCUCCAAGGCUAAAUACUCCUGACUGACCGAUAGUGAACCAGUACCGUGAGGGAAAGGCGAAAAGAACCCCGGCGAGGGGAGUGAAAAAGAACCUGAAACCGUGUACGUACAAGCAGUGGGAGCUCGCUUAGGCGUGUGACUGCGUACCUUUUGUAUAAUGGGUCAGCGACUUAUAUUCUGUAGCAAGGUUAACCGAAUAGGGGAGCCGAAGGGAAACCGAGUCUUAACUGGGCGUUAAGUUGCAGGGUAUAGACCCGAAACCCGGUGAUCUAGCCAUGGGCAGGUUGAAGGUUGGGUAACACUAACUGGAGGACCGAACCGACUAAUGUUGAAAAAUUAGCGGAUGACUUGUGGCUGGGGGUGAAAGGCCAAUCAAACCGGGAGAUAGCUGGUUCUCCCCGAAAGCUAUUUAGGUAGCGCCUCGUGAAUUCAUCUCCGGGGGUAGAGCACUGUUUCGGCAAGGGGGUCAUCCCGACUUACCAACCCGAUGCAAACUGCGAAUACCGGAGAAUGUUAUCACGGGAGACACACGGCGGGUGCUAACGUCCGUCGUGAAGAGGGAAACAACCCAGACCGCCAGCUAAGGUCCCAAAGUCAUGGUUAAGUGGGAAACGAUGUGGGAAGGCCCAGACAGCCAGGAUGUUGGCUUAGAAGCAGCCAUCAUUUAAAGAAAGCGUAAUAGCUCACUGGUCGAGUCGGCCUGCGCGGAAGAUGUAACGGGGCUAAACCAUGCACCGAAGCUGCGGCAGCGACGCUGAUGCGUUGUUGGGUAGGGGAGCGUUCUGUAAGCCUGUGAAGGUGUGCUGUGAGGCAUGCUGGAGGUAUCAGAAGUGCGAAUGCUGACAUAAGUAACGAUAAAGCGGGUGAAAAGCCCGCUCGCCGGAAGACCAAGGGUUCCUGUCCAACGUUAAUCGGGGCAGGGUGAGUCGACCCCUAAGGCGAGGCCGAAAGGCGUAGUCGAUGGGAAACAGGUUAAUAUUCCUGUACUUGGUGUUACUGCGAAGGGGGGACGGAGAAGGCUAUGUUGGCCGGGCGACGGUUGUCCCGGUUUAAGCGUGUAGGCUGGUUUUCCAGGCAAAUCCGGAAAAUCAAGGCUGAGGCGUGAUGACGAGGCACUACGGUGCUGAAGCAACAAAUGCCCUGCUUCCAGGAAAAGCCUCUAAGCAUCAGGUAACAUCAAAUCGUACCCCAAACCGACACAGGUGGUCAGGUAGAGAAUACCAAGGCGCUUGAGAGAACUCGGGUGAAGGAACUAGGCAAAAUGGUGCCGUAACUUCGGGAGAAGGCACGCUGAUAUGUAGGUGAAGUCCCUCGCGGAUGGAGCUGAAAUCAGUCGAAGAUACCAGCUGGCUGCAACUGUUUAUUAAAAACACAGCACUGUGCAAACACGAAAGUGGACGUAUACGGUGUGACGCCUGCCCGGUGCCGGAAGGUUAAUUGAUGGGGUCAGCGCAAGCGAAGCUCUUGAUCGAAGCCCCGGUAAACGGCGGCCGUAACUAUAACGGUCCUAAGGUAGCGAAAUUCCUUGUCGGGUAAGUUCCGACCUGCACGAAUGGCGUAAUGAUGGCCAGGCUGUCUCCACCCGAGACUCAGUGAAAUUGAACUCGCUGUGAAGAUGCAGUGUACCCGCGGCAAGACGGAAAGACCCCGUGAACCUUUACUAUAGCUUGACACUGAACAUUGAGCCUUGAUGUGUAGGAUAGGUGGGAGGCUUUGAAGUGUGGACGCCAGUCUGCAUGGAGCCGACCUUGAAAUACCACCCUUUAAUGUUUGAUGUUCUAACGUUGACCCGUAAUC